CUGAUGCAAACCAAGAUGAGAAAAUAGAUAGAAUAGAGUCAGAGAUUUUUGUCACAACAAAGAAAUCCUUCCUUGAUGAAGAUAUUGACUUUGCCAUUCCUCAAGUAUGAGGAGUUCUACGAGAGGGAAUUCUGUUUAGGUUGGGUUUGAGUUAAGAGUUGAGUACGAUAUUUGCCCCUAAAUUUCCCCAAUCAUCAUGUAUUAUUGCUCUGAGAGUUAUUGGUCAACAUACUUAUUGUAUCUCAGGAAUGCGAUAAUAUAUUGGUUAAUGGAACCUGUACCCUUUGAAUUUUAA